UACGUAAGGGGCAAGCGUUAUCCGGAUUUACUGGGUGUAAAGGGAGCGUAGACGGUGAGGCAAGUCUGAUGUGAAAACCCGGGGCUCAACUCCGGGAUUGCAUUGGAAACUGUCUGACUUGAGUACUGGAGGGGUAAGCGGAAUUCCUGGUGUAGCGGUGAAAUGCGUAGAUAUCAGGAGGAACACCGGUGGCGAAGGCGGCUUACUGGCCAGUUACUGACGCUCAUGCGCGAAAGCUGGGGUAGCGAACCGGAUUAGAUACCCGUGUAGUUCCUGAG
rnacentral:rRNA from 1 species